rnacentral:ncRNA from 1 species
UUAAAGUUUAAUUUUAGCUUAGUCGUUUGGUGUUUGUUUUAUUUACAUGUGAAUUUGAAUAUGGGGGUAUUUUAAAUAGAAGCAUGGACAGUAAACAGAAUUAAGUAUAAAUGCAAGUUUGACUUAGAAAUUCAAAGAGUAUAAGUUAAUUUUGUGCCAGCAGCUGCGGUUAAACAAAUUAUACAGCUAUAUGUUAUUAGAGUCAAUUAAUCACUUUGAAGGGGGCGUAAUUUAGAAUAAUAUUUGGGGGUGAAAUAUAAAUAUUAUUUAAAUUAUAGACAAGGUUGAUGAAGUUGGGAAAGUUAUUGGGUAGACUAGGAUUAGAUACCCUAUUAUUGAGACUGUGAGUUUGAGUUUCUAAGUUAGUAGAAGUUACGGUCUGGAAAAUUAAAAAUUUUGGCGGUAUUUUAUUCUUUUCAGAGGAACCUGUUCAGUAAUUGAUAGUCCACGAUUAAUUGUACUUUUGUUUUGGUUUACAUAUCGUUGUAUAGAAUAUUUUUGUAGGAUUAAAAUAUUAGUGAUUUAAAUUAUAAAAUAAGUCAAAUCAAGAUGUAGCUUAUGUAAAAGUUGUAAUGGGUUACAAUAAUGUUAAUUAAAUGGGGGUAAGCUUGAAAAUUUUAUUUAAAGUGGAUUUGAAAGUAAUUUGAAAUAAUUUUUUUAGAUGAUUAGGUUUUAAAAUAUGUACAUAUUGCCCGUCGCUUUCAUUUUAAAGUGAAAUAAGUCGUAACAAAGUAGGUGUACUGGAAAGUGUACCUGGAAUGGG